UAGCACAGAGAGCUUGCUCUCGGGUGACGAGCGGCGGACGGGUGAGUAAUGUCUGGGAAACUGCCUGAUGGAGGGGGAUAACUACUGGAAACGGUAGCUAAUACCGCAUAACGUCGCAAGACCAAAGUGGGGGACCUUCGGGCCUCAUGCCAUCAGAUGUGCCCAGAUGGGAUUAGCUAGUAGGUGGGGUAACGGCUCACCUAGGCGACGAUCCCUAGCUGGUCUGAGAGGAUGACCAGCCACACUGGAACUGAGACACGGUCCAGACUCCUACGGGAGGCAGCAGUGGGGAAUAUUGCACAAUGGGCGCAAGCCUGAUGCAGCCAUGCCGCGUGUGUGAAGAAGGCCUUCGGGUUGUAAAGCACUUUCAGCGGGGAGGAAGGCGAUAAGGUUAAUAACCUUGUCGAUUGACGUUACCCGCAGAAGAAGCACCGGCUAACUCCGUGCCAGCAGCCGCGGUAAUACGGAGGGUGCAAGCGUUAAUCGGAAUUACUGGGCGUAAAGCGCACGCAGGCGGUCUGUCAAGUCGGAUGUGAAAUCCCCGGGCUCAACCUGGGAACUGCAUUCGAAACUGGCAGGCUAGAGUCUUGUA
rnacentral:rRNA from 1 species